AUGGCCGUGAGCAAGCAAUGGACGCGGAUGCGCACGCUCGGCCGCGGCGCGUCGGGGGCCGAGGUGUUCCUCGCCGCGGACGACGCCUCCGGGGACCUCUUCGCGGUCAAGUCGGCGAGCGCGGCUUGCGCGGCGGCGCUGAGGAGGGAGCAGCGGGCGAUGGCCGGGCUGAGCUCCCCGCGCGUCCUCUCCUGCAUCGGCGGCCGCGGCGCCCGCGACGGCUCCUACCAACUCUUCCUCGAGUUCGCCCCCGGCGGCUCGCUGGCGGAGCAGGUGCCGAGCAGCGGGAGCCUCGACGAGCGCGCCGUCCGCGGCUACGCGGCCGAUGUGGCAGCCGCACUUGCGUACCUCCACGGCGCUGGGGUGGUGCACGGGGACGUCAAGGCGAGGAACGUGGUGAUCGGCGCCGACGGCCGCGCCAAGCUCGCGGAUUUCGGGUGCGCCAGGGAGGCGGGCGCUGAUGUGCCGAUCAUCGGCGGCACGCCGGCGUUCAUGGCGCCGGAGGUGGCGCGCGGCGAGGAGCAGGGCCCCGCGGCUGAUAUAUGGGCGCUUGGCUGCAUGGUUGUUGAGAUGGCCACCGGCCGCGCCCCGUGGAGCGGCAUGGACGGCGACGCGCUGGCGGCGCUGCACCGGAUUGGGUACACGGAGGCCGUUCCCGAGCUGCCCCAGUGGCUGUCCGCGGAGGCCAAGGACUUCUUGGCCAGGUGUCUUGUCAGGCAGGCCAACGAUCGGUUCACGGCGGCGCAGCUGCUGGAGCAUCCGUUCUUGGCCGCCGCCGUCGUCGACGCGAAGCCAGAAGCCGUGAAGAGCAGGUGGGUGUCGCCCAAGAGCACGCUGGACGCGGCAUUCUGGGAGUCGGAGUCUGACACCGACGAAGCGGACGACGAGCCGUCGCACGGCGCGGCCGAGAGCAGGAUCAGAGCAUUGUCCUGCCCUGCGUCGGCGCUCCCGGACUGGGACUCGGACGAGGGCUGGAUCGACGUGCUCUCCGGGCCAACGGAAGCACCUGUCGCCGCGCUGGCCAAGGUGACGACUGCCAUCAUCGUGGUCGACGCGAUCACGGGCGAAGAGGAGUCAACCGACGCAGAGUCCGGCGCCCUCGACAUUACCGUGGACGUGGAGCACGGUAGCGUGCUCAACGCAGGACAAGAGGCGCACGAUGAUGAGGAUGGUUCAGUAGUAGGGCACAGUAGGCACCAGCCUUUGGAUAUUCUAGCAUCUCGCCAAUUAAUCUCAUGUAAAUUGUUACCUGUACUGUUAUGUUGCGACAGAAUCAGUAAUGCAAUCGGUUUCGUUCAUGGCAAACCACUCUGCUUCGCAAGCGCUGCUCCUCUGUUUCUCUGCUCAUACUCGUGCUCCCCAUUGCAACACGAUUGA
rnacentral:rRNA from 1 species